CGGGGCGUAGCGCAGCCUGGUUAGCGCGUGUGGUUUGGGACCACAAGGUCGCGGGUUCGAAUCCCGCCGCCCCGACCA
rnacentral:tRNA from 1 species